GCGGGGCCUCCGUAUCCCCACGUGGGCCCUGCAGGAACUGGCGGGGCGCGUGACCCCGCGAGGCCCAGAGACAGGGGAGGGGCGCCGGGAGCGGGGCGGAUCCGCGUCCCCGAUGCGCGCUGCAUUUCCGGCGGGCGGCGCUGGGGGCAGCGUGGAGCCGCCCAGUGCUCGGCCCGCCCCGCAACCCGCCGGAACCGCCGCCCGCAGCGAGGAAGCGCCCGCGCGGGCGCAGGCGGCCGGGAUGGCGGGGCCCGGCUGGGGUCCCCCGCGCCUGGACGGCUUCAUCCUCACCGAGCGCCUGGGCAGCGGCACGUACGCCACGGUGUACAAGGCCUACGCCAAGAAGGACACUCGUGAAGUCGUAGCCAUAAAGUGUGUAGCCAAGAAAAGUCUGAACAAGGCAUCGGUGGAGAACCUCCUCACGGAGAUUGAGAUCCUCAAGGGCAUUCGACAUCCCCACAUUGUGCAGCUGAAAGACUUUCAGUGGGACAGUGACAAUAUCUACCUCAUCAUGGAGUUUUGCGCAGGGGGCGACCUGUCUCGCUUCAUCCAUACCCGCAGGAUUCUGCCUGAGAAGGUGGCACGUGUCUUCAUGCAGCAAUUAGCUAGCGCCCUGCAAUUCCUGCAUGAACGGAAUAUCUCUCACCUGGAUCUGAAGCCACAGAACAUUCUACUGAGCUCCUUGGAGAAGCCCCACCUAAAACUGGCAGACUUUGGUUUCGCACAACACAUGUCCCCGUGGGAUGAGAAGCACGUGCUCCGUGGCUCCCCCCUCUACAUGGCCCCCGAGAUGGUGUGCCAGCGGCAGUAUGACGCCCGCGUGGACCUCUGGUCCGUGGGGGUCAUCCUGUAUGGUGAGACCUCUUUUCCCUGCUUCUCACCCUGAGGCCUACACUGUUUCCUCAGGCAAGGCCUCUCUGGGCCACUUCUGAAGGGUUCUGAUGAAAACUGACUGCUGGCCCAGGGCCCCUGCUGAGGGGCGUCAGGCCAGGCUUGACCCAUUCCCUCCCAGCCUCCACUCUGCCUCCCUUCCACAGAAGCCCUCUUCGGGCAGCCCCCCUUUGCCUCCAGGUCGUUCUCGGAGCUGGAAGAGAAGAUCCGUAGCAACCGGGUCAUCGAGCUCCCCUUACGGCCCCUGCUCUCCGGAGACUGCCGGGACCUACUGCAGCGGCUCCUGGAGCGGGACCCCAGCCGUCGCAUCUCCUUCCAGGACUUCUUUGCGCACCCCUGGGUGGACCUGGAGCACAUGCCCAGUGGGGAGAGUCUGGGGCGAGCAACCGCCCUGGUGGUGCAGGCUGUGAAGAAAGACCAGGAGGGGGAUGCAGCAGCCGCCUUAUCACUCUACUGCAAGGCUCUGGACUUCUUUGUACCUGCCCUGCACUAUGAAGUGGAUGCCCAGCGGAAGGAGGCAAUUAAGGCAAAGGUGGGGCAGUACGUGUCCCGGGCCGAGGAGCUCAAGGCCAUCGUCUCCUCUUCCAAUCAGGCCCUGCUGAGGCAGGGGACCUCUGCCCGAGACCUGCUCAGAGAGAUGGCCCGGGACAAGCCACGCCUCCUAGCUGCCCUGGAAGUGGCUUCAGCUGCCAUGGCCAAGGAGGAGGCCGCUGGCGAGGAGCAGGAUGCCCUGGACCUGUACCAGCACAGCCUGGGGGAGCUGCUGCUGUUGCUGGCAGGUGAGGGCCCCCAUUUAUGCCCCCCACAGGGCCCCUGGCCACCCUGCCCUCACCACACGCCCUCUCUUUACAGCGGAGCCCCCGGGCCGGAGGCGGGAGCUGCUUCACACUGAGGUUCAGAACCUCAUGGCCCGAGCUGAAUACCUGAAGGAGCAGGUCAAGAUGAGGGAAUCUCGCUGGGAAGCUGACACCCUGGACAAAGAGGGACUGUCGGAAUCUGUUCGUAGCUCUUGCACCCUUCAGUGACCCUAGAAGAAUGAUUGGACAGAUGUGAGCCAUCUGGAGCAGAGGGGCACUAACCCAGGCUGACGCCAAGAAUGAAGUGGCCCACUGCAGCCCUGGCGAGCAGGCUUCUUGGAUGGACAGUGCUGAGACCCCCAUAUCCCAGAGUCCCCAGCCUCCCUCAGGUUACUCUGCACCCCACAGGUGGUUUGAUGGCUGUGCUGUAUACUGGAGGGGAGGGCAGGACUCUGGGAGAACAGCACUUCUUUCAUGAGACCUUUGUUACUUGGUGGUUACUGGGUCCUGUGCCUGUCCGUUUUGGGGCAUGCAGCCGUCUAUCGUUUUUGGCUCCGAGAAGGGGGCAAGGGGCCCCUGCAGGGUACUUCUGUGCUUGCCCUCGCCCUGCCAGCAGGCAGCUGUGCCCUUGGCCUGCCCUUCCUGGGAUCCCUUAUUCCAACUCAGCUCCUCUUUGCACUGGAAUGGGGCACUCCAACACCCCUCAGGGACCACCCUCCCCACAGUAUGCACUCAGCCCCACAGAACCCACCAGUCUUUCUGGGAACUCACACCUGCCCGCCAUCUUGGUACUUUAAGUUAAUCCUUCAAGCAUGAAAGUUGGAUCUCUUGGGGUUUAAGAAGCCCAAGCCUUGUUCCUGCCCUGGCCUAGGGUGCACUCAGGAGGGUUCCUUGGUCCUCAUCUCUCCCACCUCCGUUCCCUUUGGGCCCCACACUGGCCACAGCGCAGGCCUUGUGCUGGAGUUUGAGCCUGGGACAGGGAGAGGGAGGCCUGGAGACGGUCUGACCCAGUGCCCUCUAGGCUACCCACUUCUAGGCCUGCUCUGCCGCUGUGGAGCCCUGGGCAAGCUCUUUCCCCUUUCUGGGCCUGGGUCUCCCCAUCUCUUCAAUGGGGCUGAUACCUUCACAGCCCACAGCAUGGGCACUUAUGAGGACAAAGUGAAUUUAACCUGGAAAGAAUGUAUUUGAGAGUUUCUUUUAAGUAAUCAGCGGGUGUUGGUGAUUUGUAGCCCUUCUGCCCUUAAAUGCUUCCUUGGGCAAGAGCUGUCUGUCCUCCCUGCAGGAGGCUGAGUGUGAAGAGUAUCAUUCAUUGUUUCUCUAUUAAAUUAUUUUCUCUA
rnacentral:sRNA from 1 species